UCUUCCAUGUUCAUUUACUUUCUUCUAACAAUACAACAUUUAAUAUCAUCUGUUAACAAUUAAAAUGUAAACACGGAAACACAAAAGACACAAAAAAGCUUAAUGUUACUAUAUGACUUACUAAGUAAGCAGUGGAUAUGUAUUACGUUCGAAGCGGGCGGAGUUUCCAUUCAUUGAAAGGUAUGCUCUGAUGUUUGUUUAGCUUAUUGUGAAUGGUCGAAUUUGAUAUGUCAAAAUACGAUCAAAUUGCAUACAAUUGUGACAUUUAUUCGAGUUCGUCCGGCAAAAUGCAUCGACUGCAGUUUUUUGUUAAUAUCGGCAAAACAUUGUUUUCUUCACAUUUAUCACACGCUUUCAUUUUUUGUUAUUUUACAUGUUUGGACUUUCGGUUAUAGCAUUGUUUGUAUACAAGUAUCUAUCAAAAGGAUACUGUCAUCGCAGUUGCAUUUGUAUAGCGUGGCUUGGAUACAGUUCCGUUAUUCGAUGUAACGUGCGUUUUGUGUACGAUAAUAUUAAUUUUGAUUAAUAUGCAACACAUGCGAAUAUUUGGAUAUGUCUAGAUUUGUGUCCACCAAACAAGAUGUUUUAAACAGAUGACCCCAUACAUAUGAUUAGCACGAAAUAAAAAAUAUUGUAUGCACAUUUCCAAAAUAAAAACAGCUUCAAUGACAACCACAACUGAAAUUCAAAAAUGUGCACCAUUAUUAUUUUAUAUAUCUGGAAUAUUAAUCAGAAAUGUAAUUUUGUAUGUGUGGAUGUCAUCCCCAUUUAAACGCAAAAUAUUAAAAUGGUUACAACUUUAUAAGUGUUGCCGGCGUCGUCCUCACUUAAAACUUAUAAGCACUUGUCAAAUGUUCCUAUAGUAGAAUAAAAAUAGUACAGAAAUGAUUCGAAUGCUAAUAUUGUACACAACUAAUACGAGUGUUUUCAAGUGAUAUUAUUUCAAAAAUAAAUGCAAAGGUAUGCGAAUAAAAUCACUGAAUUGUAAUGCUGCAUUCUAACUUAACUGAAACGGUUAAAUAACGUCAAAUAGAUCUACGUGUGGGUUGUUGUGCUACUUAGAAGCUAGUAAAUUAAUAACGAAAUCAUUUUCUUUAAAAGAAAUGUAUACAUUUCUAAAAAAAAAAUUUCAUAAAUAAGUUGCUGAAUACUUGAUAUGAUAAUUACAAAACAUUGGAGUUUCAUAUGAUUUCUGUAUGCGUGAUUUAAUACCAUAUGCUAUUAUAUAUUUAGUAUAUAUUGUAAUUAUCGAUUGAGGACUGUAUUGUAAUUCUAUUGGCAUUAAUAUAUUGAAAUCGAAUAAGAAAGAGGCUAUUGACAUUAAACGAAGGAUAUAUAAAAACUGACGAUAGGAAAACAUAGUAGUAUAAUAUUAAAGAUUAAAUGAGUCAGUAAAGGAGGAAAAUAAGGUUUGAGAUAAAAUCAUCACAGUAAAGCAGUUUUGAAAUAGCGGCGAUAAAUUCAAAAUCGUGUUUGCUGCGCAUCAUAAACUUAUUUGACUUAAAAUAACAACUAUUGCAAGGUAAAAGAUUAUCUAGUUUUUAAGAUAUUUUUAUUUAUAUUUUCUACAAUCAAUUAUCGUGAGAUUACACUUGUCGGUAUAAGCAAUUAAAUGUUAUUAAAAUCAUAAUUUUUAAGUUAAUAAGUAUUUGUAAAGUAAACGGAUUCUAAAAAACGAA